AAUAACAUAUAGAAUAUGCCUUAUAACCUUCCUAAUUUUUAAGUUCUUGCUUAUUUAUAAGUUUGGUCAGUCAGGUAAUUGCAAAUUAAUUGUCCAUCAAAUCACAUAACAGUUGACAUACUUGAGAACACCAAAUAUGAUACUCAAUGAAAAAAAUAUAUACAUCGAAUUUUGCAUGAAAAGUACACAUGAAUGAGUUCAUUACUUGAUUGUAUCUAAAGAGUAACUUACAGAAAUCCAACUGCUAUCCGGUUUUCAUAGCUCAGACCAUCAGACAUGCCCAGGUCUCCAACAUGAUCUCCAAGAAGUAACACAUUAGUUCUUUGCUUCAUCAAGACACUAUCAGGAUUAUAUCCAUUAGGAUACCCGAAUUUGUCAUGAAUAGGAGCAGCCAUAUCCAAUGCAUGCUCAUUCUUGUUUAGCACAUGAAUUGUCUUUCCUGAGAUUGGUAUUAAUUGCAGCAAAGCACGACAGACCGAGGAUUAGAGAAUGAAGAAUAAAAUUCAUCAAUAAAAUUGUAUAGAGGGUUAGAAUGGGUUUUGUUUCUGGUAAUAAGAUCAAAGAAUUGCCAUGCCAAGUAACAGGUCGGAAAAUGGAUGCACACUACAUCAAACCAUGCUGAGAACACUAAUAUAUGGUCAGAUCCUUUUUUUGGCUGCGCUGGGUUGCAUAAGAACUUGCCAACUGACACGACAGGAAAUCAUAUUGCAGCAGAAAGACAUCAACACCCCUGUGCCAUGAAAUGGCAAUCCUCAAUAAGACUAUUGAUUCAUCUUGGAUUCACUUUUUCCUAUUCUUAUGCCAAUUUAAUUGAAAAUACAGAUAAAGUUGUUGGUAACUUCUAAACAAUUCACAAUCUAUUUUGCACUUUAUAUAUAUAAGCUUUCUCAUGAUUAAUACCAUAUACUUAUCAAGAUUUAGCCUUCUCAAUGGAAGCAAAAUGUCCACGUAGGACAUUACAUCUUUGUUGUUGUUCUUGUUAUUGUAUCAAGAUUUAACCUAAUAUUUUCAGGUAUACUUGGUUUUAGAAUUACUUGAUCAGUAUCUUUGGCCCUUCUAAAUUUCUGAGCUUGUAACUUGAAAGUACCAUUCAAUACACAUGCAUAUACAAAGUUUUAGGCUAUGACAUUUAUGUUAAAGAAAGUAGAACCAUAUGACAUAAGGAAUGCAGACUUGUAAACAGUUUAAGAUAAGGUCAAACAAAAAAGGCACAAAACUUACCUUUAAAGGCAACAAGGCAGCCUUUUUCAUCAAAAACCAUUCUGUUGGAAACAACUUUGACAUUCUUGAAAGAUCUAUGUAGUUUCUGCCUAAAAACCUAAUAAAUUAUUUUUAAAAAAUUUAAUAAGGAAAAAAAUUUCUGCAUUGCAAUGUGGUUCAUAAACUAAUAAGAGCAUAGAAAUUCCACUCAAUCAGAACCUCUUCAAUGAUGUCUGCAAGGCCUGCGGAAAAGACAAGGACAGGCACAUCUAGUUCCUGCACAAUGAGCAAAAGAGUUUGUUUAGUUACUCUUACGAGGACCCAGCAUGAAUCUUCAUUUGUUUUAUUUAGUGAACUAUGAAAAUUUGUGUGUAAACUUAGCAGCAGAUACCGAAAGGAAAAGUCGAAUUUUACCAGCAGAGUGUCUCCUCAACCUGUGAGCCCACAAGUAAGCUCAAGUUUCUCACAGCCAUGUGAGAGGAGAGUUUUUGGAAGGGAUAUCUAGAACAAAUAACAUUAGCUUUUUUUAUCUUGAUCACCUACUUGCUUGUGGAUGGAGGCAGCAUGACACUUUGAGAGUGAGCCAUGGAAGCCAUACAAGGGUAAAUAGAGCAAUUCCUCUUCUUCUUUUUUUCCUUCUCAUGGGUCUGGCAAAACCUUACUUGCUAGUUAGACUUAGGCAGUUUACGUUCCAAAUCCUCUUCCUAAUCCUAUCCUUCUCUACCAACACCAAGAUGGCAGGUCCGUCCCUACUUAUCGAAGGUAUCUGACAAUUGGAAAAGUGACAGCCAGCUAAUACCCAAGAAUUCCAAGAUAAAGGGAGAUCUAACAGCUGUGAAGCCUAGUCUACUUUCUCCUCUGUUCAUUUCAAUUUUGUUUACCUCCUAUUCUUUACUAUCCCUGUCCUCAUGUGCUCCUUUUUCUCUCCAGGAGGAGGGACCUGGGCAGCAAUCUCCCGCAUCCCCUAAAAUAGGCAGAAUAAAGAAUGGUUCCAAACAAAGAGACCAGGGUAAACAGUGACCAAUGAGGCAACCUUAUUACAGUAAGGGCCACAGAUAGGAUAAGACAAGAGACCGGGUCACCCAGAUUUUUUAAGCUCUUCAAUGAUGACAACUGCCAAUCCAAUCAGAGCACUAGUUGAAUUCUAAAUCCCUGGUAUUCAUGGAAAAACCAAGUACUCACACUAUAAGACUUGAAGGAGCAAAUCUCUGUGUUACGUAACAAUAGCCAAUUUACAAAAAAAGAGAUCCAGUUGCCAAAAUUGUGGGUCAGAGGAUAGAUAAAUUAAUAAUUCCAUGCUUGUAUCUGUGGUGGCUGAAAUUGUGUUAAACGUAUCAGUGUUACAUUAACUAGUGUCUAUAGUACUAACUAAAUCUCAAUGAUAAUAGCUAUCAUACAAGUAUAAUUCCUUUUCUGCUUCAAAGGAAUAUUAUGAUUUAUAGUACACAGUCUCAAGUCUAGCAGAAUGGCAGUUGCUGAUGUGGCCUAGGUAGUAAGAUCACUUUUUUUCAAACUACACAGCAAACAAAACAUGCCAUCAAUCUAUAAAAGAAAAUAAAGAACCCAAAGGAGCUCCUUUAGAAAUCUUGCGAGGAAACCUUUCCAAAACCAUAGUAGCUAUUAUAUAAGUUUAUGAGCGACGCAGAACAUGCCUUGUUGUAUGUCUAAGCCCACAACUUUCAACAAGUAAAAGAAACUAGAGAAACUACAACAUAAAAAUCCUACACAAAUUCUAUCAGGGUAGCUUAAAAUAAUAAAAUCAACUCAAUAGUUAUGUAUUGCUAGACCAUUUAUGAAUUAAAAAAUAAAACUUUAAGCAGCAAUUUAGUUCACUUAACCAUUGAUGAAAAAACAGUAUAACGAUGAAAUCUUAUUCGAAUUUAACAUAUGAUCAAUAAUUAUACAACCAAAGAAUGUUUUGUGCUCAAUUAGUCAGCACAAUCUACAUAUAAACUAAGUGCAACCAGAAGAUCAAGAUAUUGAAAAAGUAGUGAGUCUGCACAAUGUACAUAAAGAAGGCAACCAGAAGAUCAAUACAAGUGGGCUACUAUUUUACAUUCAUCCAGUCUAAACUGUAUCAACUAUUUUAAACUAGCCAUUCCAAGAGCCUCUUUUACAGAGAAAGUGUUGACAGAUCUGUUGAUGAGCAUGAUAAACAAAGAUUUUUUGUUACACUAGAUUAAUUUCUGAAAAUCCGCCCUUCCACAUUUCAUAUCUAAUGAAGCGCUCUUGUUAAAAGAUAAGAGACAUCCCCAGUAGGGGUCUCUUCUUUUUUCCUGUGCUUUUAUGUGUGCGUUGGUCUGUGGGUAACGAUUCGGUUGUGGGGUAAGGGGUUGCAAAUAUCAAAUACCUAUGAAUAGUUCAAGCACCUACGACACAUUUAAUCAAUUUAAUACAUUUAGGAAAUCCAUGAUCAGCAUUCAACAUCCACCAAAUAAACUCAUAAGAUUGCUUUUGAUGUCUAUCAGUAUUGACAUGAUGAUAGGUUUGCUUUUUUUAAAGAGGAACAUUAUGAUAUAAGACAGUCCAGUUCCACCACAGCCCAGAAGAUACAAACUGUACUAGUUCUAUGAUAUCCUAAAAGGUUAUACCAAUCAUGAUCAUUCUACAGUGAGUUCCAGCUCACGUACUGCUUAACUGCAGGAACAGAACAAACCCUCACAGGAUCUGUGAAAUAUUAGAGCAACCUUAGUUAUAUGAGAUUCUAGGUACAUAUGGCCACUUGACAAAUUUGAUCUUCAACAAGAUCAUAACCAAUCUUCUUAACAAGCAACCAUUUGAAAGGAUAAAGAGAGUCGAAUGCUAGCUUUAGGAUACAGGAUACUUCACGUGCUUCGAGUGACUACAAAUAAAGAAAGCUGGCUAGCGUUAAAGUCUGGUGAAAUGGCUAUUCUAGCUUAACAUAUUUAAGCAAGCUACUCUGCUGCCAAUAUCUAUUGCAUAAUGCAUAAACAUGUAUAUUGGAAUAUGGAAAUAUGCACACCACAUGUUACUAUUUAAGAUGAAUAACUAAAAAAACACAUUGAUAAGAACGUACUACUUGAAAGAAAUAGUGGUGAGGUAAUAUGAAUGAUCAAAUUGUAAUCUUUAAGCACCAAUACAGCUAACUUUUAGAGAACAGUCCAAAAAUUUGUAAAAUUGGUUAGUAAUCAUCCAAAUAUUCUAUGCUGUCCUUGGCUAGGUGCCUCGACAAUAGGAAAUAUCCUUUAGCUGGACCUAUAUUAAACAGAAUAGUUUAUGCUAGCUCCUAAUCAUGAUGGCUAGUUCAAAUAGUAGUACUAUUUAUUUCACACCCAUUAAAACUAAUGCCCAUUAUUAAGUUUUAAGUCUAUGGUAACUAACUAUGGGAUAAGUCUUCAUGGGAAGGAAAGGCUGAUAAAAACAGUGGCCAUGUAAAAACCUAGAAUUGAGGAUCAAAUAAAUGAAAAGAUGAUUAUGAAGAAACUUUCUUCCAAGCACCAGUUAAAAAACCUUUCUAAGUUGUCAAACAAAUUAUUUUCUUAUCUAGAUCUUCUUUAAGAAAUAGCCGCAGAUUCUAUUCAAGCCAUCUAUAAGUGGUUUUGUACAUGGAGUUACUAACAGGGUGAGCUUAUAGUGACAUCAUAUGAGAAUCAAUAUUGAUCAUAUUACUUAGUGGAAGUAUAUGCAUGUCGUGCUUGCCAAUUAAGUGUUUAUUGCUUAAAUCAUCAAAAAUACCAGCUUAUGAUGCUUUAACUUGCCAUUACAAGUCUCUCAUUAAAAUUUUAGUAAAUAAGGGUAAAAUAACGUGAAAAAAUGGCUUCUAUACUGGUUUUGGCAACUGGUCAGACCGCUAAAAUACUGAUAAAACAGGUGCAACCUAUCUAUAUAGCUUGGUAUCAUUAAAAUAAAUACCAACCAGUACCAACAAAUAGGUUGGUUCUAUGUAUUUCCUGAAUUGUCCUUAUAAAUAACUGAUUUAUAUAGGUUAGUCCAAUCAGUAUUCCUCUUCUAAAGCAACCUUCAAAUUUUCAUUACAUAUUUUCUGAAUUACCAAUCAUUGUAAGUGAUUUUUAUGGAACUAAAGUUCUAAGAUACUAUAAAUUUAUUUUGUAUUUCAUGAAUAAAAUGCUUUACUAUUUAAUUCUGACCUCACCCCUAAAAAUUUAUCCAUACUUUCUAUCUCCUCAUGUCCUAGCAAUCAGGAUAUGGGAAAAUGAAUCAAAAACAAUGACAAGCUCCAAAAAACACUUGUUUAAUACUAAUUAGGUAAAUUGACAUAUCCCCAAGGUCAUAUACAAACAACAUACCUCCAAGAACUCAAACAGCUCAACAACACCAUCUCUAAAAGCAAUUGUAGCCUCAGAGACAGAUUUCUUUAUUGCAUCAUAGGUAACACCUCCCUCGAUAAGAAGACCAUGUGUCUUCUCCCACCUGCAGGCUCAAAGAACAUCAAGUUUUAAAGUUGCAGGAUAUGAAAUCUUAGGUGCCUGUGCACUUAACCAACUCAAAUGUUAAUUAAUUAAAAAUGAGUAAACAAGUAAUACAGUUAAAGGUACACCACAUGGCAGGAAUUUGUCUACAUAGAAGCAAAUAAUAAAUUUAUGACUUUUAGGUAAGUUUUCUCAGUACUUAAGAAAUUUAAUAAACAACAGAUCCACAUAACUGAAGUGGCCAAAGAAGGACCAAGUAAUGGUCUUUUCAUCAUUACUAAUUUAAACAUGCAAGUCCAGUAAUCCAUAAACAGGGUAUUCACAUUUACUGAAACUUUCUUCCUAGUAUCAACUAUCAGCUAUCAGGUUAGACAUGGAAACAAAGUCAUUAUUCUAAGUGGUGCAUUAAGUGUUUAGGAUGGCCUGUGUGAGCUAUGACAUAAGAUAUUAUAUGAGCACCAUCCACCCCACAAGUGCUCCUUCUGUAUGCCUUAUUUUGGGGGCUUAGCAUGCAUGAUUUUGGCUCCUGGCUAACAUGCUGUUAAGUCAAAACCAUGUAUGUCAGACUCGUUGGUGCUUCUGGAAUUUUCGGAAGCAAGUACAUCCGCAUACCACUCUUCCAUCAGCUUCGUUUUCUCCUCGAUGGGAAUGGUUGGCGAGAUCUCCAAGGGAUGAUAGUAUUCAUACAACGCUUGCCUCCUGGCAUCAUACUCCGCGUUCCCCUGCUGUAGCAAUCCAUGGCUAGCUAACCACAACAAAGCCAGGAAACCUAAUCAGAACCAACUCCAUUUCCACGUACUAAAUCAGAGGAAGGGAUUCAUGUAACCUACUCUGCCCACGGCGGCCAUCAAUCCAGUACCUCGUGAGCGUGCCGUCAAAAUCGGCAAUCACCUAAAAGUUUCAAGAAAUGGGCACUAGAUCAAACACUUAGAUUGCAUAAACAAAGGGGGAGUAGAGGACAAAAGAUCGGGCUCCUCGCCUGGAGUUUACUACAGCCGGCGCACCGGAUUGCGGUCUUCUUCUCCACCAGCGACUUCGGGUCUCGGACGGCGACACCUGGCGGCGACAUGGUAGUGGAAUCCAUCGAACCUCCACCGGCUCGCGGAGUUCCCGGACGGAAGCACCGGAAUGCAGGGGGAGGGAAGGUUGUGGGAGGAAAGCAGGGGAGGGCGAUGGAGGCGGCGCUUGCGAGACUGGCGGCGUGGUGGAUGCGGCAGAGUCCUCCGGGCCUCAUUAAGAUGGGCCGGGCGAACCGAAACCGCAGCAAUCGAUUUCGCCCCUCCGGGCUUCGUGUUGUGCGCUUCUUAUUCUAAAUUAUUUACCACAUUAGCUAAAUAAGGAAAAAAAUCCGUACGUAAAUUUUAAAUUAUUUAAUAUUUACAAAAAAAAAUAAAAAAAAAUCAUUACAUUAAAUGACAUGAAUUCGAACACAAUAAUGUAUUAAUGCAUUAUCCAAUUCGAAUGUCUCAAUAGAUAUCUAAUUAUUUAGCAUAUUAUCUACCUUGAAAUUAUAUGAAUGUGAGAAGGUUUUUCAUCGAUUUAUUAUUAUUUUUCUGACUGAUCUCAUCAUUUCUAGGAAACGGUGAACUACAUAAUUUCUUGUUUGAGCAUCAUAAGCACAUCUGCAUCCAUCAAAUAUUUGCAUAGGUUUUGAUUAAUCGAUUGCUUGAUUUUUUUGGUUCUCAAGAAUUACAACCUCAAGUUGUUUAUUUUAUUUGUUUUCUUCGUUGACAGAGAAGACAAUAACCAAUUGUUUCCUGUAAGCGAAUAGUAAAUUUACCCACACGGAGAAAAUGCAUUAGUAACACAUAAGAACUACGGCUAUAUUUGAUAAUUUCUAAAUCUUUCUUGAAAGAUCAAACAAUAUCAAUCGGAAACAUAUGACUAACGGAAAGAUGCAAUCCUGGAUGAUAUCGGUGAGCAUUGGAAGUCAUAGAAUGCACAUGCACAAGGUUGUGAAUGGCCUGCAGUUUCUAAGUCACAGAGCUUUGCUCUAUGAGAGUACCAUGGUGAAGAUGGUUGUGAGAGUAGCUCAUAAGCAGUAAACUAAAUGCGAACUGAGGUCGAUUGGUUUUGCUUAUCUUUGCACUGGGCACCUCCACGAACAUCAUCAUCAUCAUCAUAUUUUCCCAACGAAAUCUCUCUAUUCUGUUGAGGAAAAUCUUCUAUUGAGGGAAAUUAUUUCUCCUAAUUUAUAUAAAUAGAAGAGGGAACAUGAAUAAAGCUUCUUUAAUAAUUAUUCUUAUCUUAUAUUAUUUUCUUCGGUUAACAUCACGUAAUGUUGUUUCCUCGCACUCAUCCAGCUCCAUGUCGGUCAUCUGAUAUAGGUUUUGGAGGAAGCACAGCCUCGAGAGUUUUGCACUGAUCUGGUGUCAGUGAAUCCGGGAAGGCCACCGUAAUGCGGAUGUAGAGCUUCCCCCUCACGAAGGGUCUCCGGUACAUUGGCAUUCCCUCGUCAUUUGUUGCCUUGAAUUGAUCUACAUCGAUAGCUAUAUGUCAUUGAUUUAAAGCCUGGAAUGAGCAUAUUAAACUUUUGAACAGGCUAGUUUAAAUUUCAUACGGGGCUUCACAGCUUCACCAGUGUUCGACUUGAUGAAUAGUUUAGUUGCCUGUUAUCUAAAUGGGUUAAAACGAACCGGAAGCCACAGAGAGCUUUAGUACGGGAUAAUGUGUGGUACUAAAAGAUAUCGCCUCCCUUUCUCUUGAACUUUGGAAGAUCCUUCUGCUGCAGUACAAACACUAUCUCCGGUAACCGUGUCAGGCUACAACACACAUGAGCACACAAUCUAGGUUAGCACAUCAAGAACAACAAGAAACUAGACAUAAUUAUGCAUGGAUUAAUGUUUUACAGAACAUACCGCCUCAUCUGUUGUCACUCAUCAUAAAUAAAUAAAUAUAUUUAUUUAUUUAUUUCUUCUUGCAAUGACAAGAAGAAGGCAACAUUUCCAAGUUUUCACUCAUCAUUCCUACUCCAUAAAGCAGUCAGAACUGCAUUUUGAGGAGUAAGCGAUACUAUUGUAUUAGUAUGUGGUUAUUAGACUAGAAUAAGCUAUUAUUUUGAAUAAUUUAUUUAAAGCAUCCUCAGUAAUCUCUUUUACCAUCUCUUAGGAAUAAUUUGUUUUUUUAAAUAUUCUUGUAUUAAUUUGACACACUAGUUUGACCAAUGAAUCAUGACUCGCGGUUUGGUCCGAUCAACGUCCACCUUUAGACAAUUUGUUCUUAAAUUUACUGUUUGAUCCACUGGUCCGACAGGACGAAUCGGGUUUGAUGCACGAGACUCCCGUAAUCCACAGCCAAAGAACAAUGUUAUCAGCGCCGACCAUCCUAAUGCUCUAGACAGAUCUUGCUGUUGUCAAACCUCCAGCCACCAUAUGACAUGUUAAAUUUGGUUGGAUAAGCAAAACACCCAACAGAUCAGUUUGACUUAAUCAAGGUUUUUGUCAGUUGACUGUCGUAAACCCUCGGGCUAGAAUAACACAGACAUCUAGUUUUUAGUAUACACACUGGCUGUAAGACUAUGUAGUGGUUUCUUAAAGUCUGCAACAAGAGUUGCAUGCAAACAAUGCAUAUUACAUAAUCCAAGUAUUCACGAAGUAUUUACACAUGCAUUAUGUAGAAAUUGUAGCCUUAAUCUGCUCAGCCAACUUGGAUUCUGACAAUCCCCAGCUCUAAAUACAAUGUUUCUAUUCCAGCUUUCUAGAGAGUAAUAUUAAUAUUCAAGGGGAAUGAGAGAAGGGCAAAAAAAAAAUUCCGAGAAAAUUUACUGCAAGAAAUUAUGAACAAUUAUCGUGUACCAAAAAAAUUGAUUUAACGUAAGAAAUUAUGAACAAUUAUCAUGUACCAGAAAAAUUAUGUAUUUAAUCUAGAAGAUAUAAUGUCUGUUCAACAUCUCAUAUGAUAACUUUGCUUCUCAUCAAAGUAAAAAAUAAGAGGAAAAUUGAAAAGAUGACAAAGUAUGUAGCUGGUAAUGACAAGAACAUGAUUAAAUGCAUACACAUAAUGUAUUUAUAUCAUUGAUUCUCUGCACACAAUUGAGAUACGAGCUCAACAACUCCUCUCAUGGAUGCAUCAUUCUGCGAAAAAUGAACUCUUUAAAAGCAUAGAAGUAUAUGAUAAUUGAGCGAAAGAAAACAAUUGCAUGAGUUGGUCAAAAUUUGUCUCACCAGGUAUACAACGUCAAAUGCAUCAAGGUAACUUUUGAAGGACAUCUCUGUAUUAUUAUUCCUGACAAGAAAAAGAAAUUAAUAAAAAAACGUAUAAACUAUAUACAAAGAACAUAUAGAAUAUGCCUUGUAACCUUCCUAAUUUUUAAGUUCUUGCUUAUUUAUUAGUUUGGUUAGUCAGGUAAUUGCAAAUUAUAUAUGGAAGUAGCACCUGUAAUUGCAAAUUAAUUGUCCAUCAAAUCACAGAACAGUUGACAUACUUGAGAACACCAAAUAAGAUACUCAAUGAAAAAAUAUAUAUACAUCGAAUUUUGCAUGAAAAUUAUACAUGAAUGAAUGAGUUCAUUACUUGAUAGUAUCUAAAAAGUAACUUACAGAAAUCCAACUGCUAUCUGGUUUUCAUAACUCAGACCAUCAGACAUGCCCAGGUCGCCAACAUGAUCUCCAAGAAGUAACACAUUAGUUCUUUGCUUCAUCAAGACACUAUCAGGAUUAUAUCCAUUAGGAUACCUGAAUUUGUCAUGAAUAGGAGCAGCCAUAUCCAAUGCAUGCUCAUUCUUGUUUAGCACAUGAAUUGUCUUUCCUGAGAUUGGAAUAAUUGCAGCAAAGCAGGACAGACCGAGGAUUAGAAAAUGAAGAAUAAAACUCAUCAAUAAAAUUGUAUAAAGGGUGAGUAUGGGUUUUGUUUCCGGUAAUAAGAUCAAAGAAUUUCCAUGCCAAGUAAGACAUGUAAAAAAAUGGAUACAAACUACAUCAAACCAUGUCG
rnacentral:lncRNA from 1 species